rnacentral:lncRNA from 1 species
GGAGGACGACGUCCCUCCCGGGGAGAAGAGGCUGCGGCUGUUGCUGGAGGGGGGAAGAGCACAGCCCUAGGACUGCGAGGACGGGGAGGACGCGCCGCGGCCGGGCAGGGAGGAGACCGGCACCCAGACAGGUGGCGACGGCAGAGGAAUGUUUACUGAGCACUUGCUCUGUGCCAGGCGCUGUCCCAGGUGCUGGUCCUGCAGGAGUAUGUGGAGCCUAGAGUUUGAUGAGGGAGGAGCCAUUGAUGAAAUGCCACCCAAGAAGACUGCAACAGACGCUGUUGAAGCCUGCAGCAGAUGCUGUGGGAACCUCACUCAACCCCUCAGCUCUCACCUUUGAGGUGAAUGCCAAUGGUAUCCUGAGAUUCUUCACCUAAGGGCAUUCUCGAGGUUGGCACAGAGGGCAAGCUGGAAUUUUGAACCUCUCAACCCCCAUCCAUGGGAACUGGAAGACAAAAAUAUCCAGCUUCCUUAUCUAAUCAAGUGGGAUAGCUCUGAGGCCUGUUCUACAAUCUCCCAAGGACCCCUAACAGGAUGGAGCCCCAGCUGCCCACAGCAAUAACUGGCUCGCGAAUGCACUCCACAUCAUGCCCUUCCCGUCCCUGAAUCACUCCCUCGCUCCCAGACCUGGGCUCACUCUCCAAGUAAACUACUGACACUCAAAUCUUUGUCUCAGAGUGUGGUGCUGGGAAACUCAGCCUGAGACAGAUGUAAUUACAAACUGUGAUAGCUGCAAGCAAGGAGAGGGAUGCCGGGCCGCAUUCUGACAAGGUGUUGUCUGAAAUGACAGCUAAGGAAGCAUAGGCAUUAUCUAAUGUAGAUCGUCAGGAUGCAGCACAGCAAACAGAAACCGUUUUAGGAACAUUAACAGGAGGCAGGAAGGGUUGACCCAGCAGGGCUGGCUGUCAGCUCCUUGCACUGCUGCUAUGGCUUCACAGGAUUACUGUCCACAAACAAACAAACAGCACCAAAACUCCCAACAAUAAGAACAACAGAAAUCCCACCUAAGGCACCAAAGGCUUGGUGAGCAUGGAUGCAUGGCAAAACUGCCUCCUGAAGGCCAGAAGAAAGGAUUUCUCUCCUGUUUUCACCCACUCCCUGUGCCUCCUGACUGACCCCGGUGCUUCCCCCAUGGCUCUGCAGAUCUUGGUGUGCCCACUCCUCUUGGGAACUAACAGAGGGAAUUUCCUGGAAGGCAGGGUCUGUGUUCAUCUCCCACAGAGCAUAGAGCACAGUGGAUGCUGAGGAAAUGGUGAAUGCUGGAAAGGAGCAACAGGAUGCCAAGGCCAGAAGUUCACCUUUGUGACCAAACUGGCUGAAACUGGUGAGAUGCAAGACGGCAGCUCACUUGACCUCCAAAGAACCUCUAACUUCAUUAUAAUAUAAUUUCCUUGCUAAAUGACACUCCCAUCAGUGUCAUGACAGUUGACAUUGCCAUGACAAUGGCCAGAAGAAACCAUAAAGGGACAAAAAGGAAGGUAGUAACUCUGGUUCCAAGGAGUUCUCCCAUUUCCAGAAAAGACAUGGAUAUUCCUCCCCUUGCUUUUAAUGCCCAACUUUUUCAUUAAAGAUGAAGCCUGUAUCUAUGGUUUCCCAGCUCUCAGGAGCUGAGAAGUUGAUUUGUGAGCCAAACUCCCACUUCUCAAUAAAGGCCGUCGAAUAAAGCAUGCACUGUUUCAUGCUUACUUUUGGGUUCGUGUAUUGGCUUCACAGCACAGAACAGGAAAAGGCUCCAUCUUCUGGGGGACAGGCUUUGUUGGUAACAAAAGGACUGGCCCAGAGUCAGAGUUAGGAAGUGAUAAAGCCAGGUGUCUGCC